rnacentral:rRNA from 1 species
UAGUAGGGAAUCUUCCGCAAUGGACGAAAGUCUGACGGAGCAACGCCGCGUGAGUGAUGAAGGCUUUCAGGUCGUAAAACUCUGUUGUUAGGGAGGAACAAGUACGAGAGUAACUGCUCGUACCUUGACGGUACCUAACCAGAAAGCCACGGCUAAUUACGUGCCAGCAGCCGCGGUAAUACGUAGGUGGCAAGCGUUAUCCGGAAUUAUUGGGCGUAAAGCGCGCGCAGGCGGUUUAUUAAGUCUGAUGUGAAAGCCCACGGCUCAACCGUGGAGGGUCAUUGGAAACUGGGGAACUUGAGUGCAGAAGAGAAAAGCGGAAUUCCACGUGUAGCGGUGAAAUGCGUAGAGAUGUGGAGGAACACCAGUGGCGAAGGCGGCUUUUUGGUCUGUAACUGACGCUGAGGCGCGAAAGCGUGGGGAGCAAACAGGAUUAGAUACCCUGGUAGUCCACGCCGUAAACGAUGAGUGCUAAGUGUUAGAGGGUUUCCGCCCUUUAGUGCUGCAGCUAACGCAUUAAGCACUCCGCCUGGGGAGUACGGUCGCAAGACUGAAACUCAAAUGCACAUUCACGGGG